GACGAACGCUGGCGGCGUGCUUAACACAUGCAAGUCGAACGGAAAGGCCCUGCUUUUGUGGGGUGCUCGAGUGACGAACGGGUGAGUAACACGUGAGUAACCUGCCCUUGACUUUGGGAUAACUUCAGGAAACUGGGGCUAAUACCGGAUAGGAGCUCCUGCUGCAUGGUGGGGGUUGGAAAGUUUCGGCGGUUGGGGAUGGACUCGCGGCUUAUCAGCUUGUUGGUGGGGUAGUGGCUUACCAAGGCUUUGACGGGUAGCCGGCCUGAGAGGGUGACCGGCCACAUUGGGACUGAGAUACGGCCCAGACUCCUACGGGAGGCAGCAGUGGGGAAUACUGCACAAUGGGCGGAAGCCUGAUGCAGCAACGCCGCGUGCGGGAUGACGGCCUUCGGGUUGUAAACCGCUUUCGCCUGUGACGAAGCGUGAGUGACGGUAAUGGGUAAAGAAGCACCGGCUAACUACGUG
rnacentral:rRNA from 1 species